CCUGCCCCCUGCAGUAACGGGGUUCCCGUACCCCGCCACGGGAACGGCCGUGGCCUACCGAGGGGCACACCUACGGGGCCGAGGACGCGCCGUCUACAACACCUUCCGAGCCGCGCCGCCGCCACCGCCCAUCCCCGCCUACGGCGCGGUCGUCUACCAGGACGGGUUCUACGGAGCUGAGAUCUAUGGGGGCUACGCUGCCUACAGGUACGCCCAGCCCGCAGCAGCAGCGGCCGCGUACAGUGACAGGUAAGCACCGGGCGUCACUCCUGGGGGAGC